AGACCGGUGCGCUGUUGUAUCACUGGAAAGAAGAGAACAUGGAUCGAUCAGCACAAAUAUGAACAGUGGCACCUGAAUCCAUCCACCAGUCAUCUCAUGGACUUGCCAUAAAGGCCUGAGUGCAUACCUGGGGUGGAGUUAACCACCACGUUCUCUUCUUUGCACUGAGGUGGAGGACCUUUUCCCUUCCUUAGUUUGCACCUCCGAGCUGUAUGCCCGGAGACACCACAAACGUAGUAGAUAAAGUCCUCCUUCUUCAUCAUCUUUUUGGACUUAGGUUGUUUUAGAUUCUUCUGUGGAGAGUUCUUCUUCUUCUGGAAUUUUCUAUCUCCGCCCUUCUCAACAAUGUGAGCUUGGAGUUGCUGGGAUGACUUGUUACUGGCCCUUGCACGCUCUUCCACAUUUAUAGCAGCAGACAACUAAGUGAGAGUCAUUUGUUUCUUCAUGUGGCGACGUGAAGUCACAAAGUCUCGCCAAAAAGGCGGGAGAUUUGCUAGUAUUGCACUCACCUGAAAACUUUCUGGUAGGGUGCAACCAUAUUGGACCAAGUCCCUAACAAGGAGUUGAAUCUCCUAUAGUUGCUCCAUAACAAACCUUCCCUCAGCCAUUUUAUAGUUGAGGUAGUUUUCCGUUGUGAAUGAUUCAUUGCCAUUGUCAACUUCAGAGAACUCAUUAUCAAGUUCAGUCCAAAGACCCUUAGCGGAGGUAAAACUAGAGUACACGUCAAAUAAGCGGUUCGACAAGACGUUCAGCAGACGAGACAUGCAUGCCUCAUUGGCUUUGUCCCACUUGGCCUUCUUCGCUAGUCUGGCAGCCUUUGCUGCAACAUCAGCAUCAUCUGAUGCUGCCUCGGGAACAUCCGACAUCAUUACCCAAAAUAGUUUUAGGUCAGUGAGCCACAUACGAGUCUUAAUAUGCCAGCGCUUAAAGCUUGCGCCGUCGAACGUUUCAGGCUUAAUGAAAUCAGAACUAGAGGCCAUUGUACGAAUUGGUUUUCUAGAUUGUUGAAGUUUUAUAGAAAUAAGUGACAUGCUUCUAACAUAUUUAAAUAUAUUAAAUAUUCUAAUUCCGAAUAAAACAUGCAUAUAACUCAGAUAAAUGUCAUACGUAAAUAUAACAGUAAUGAACAGUAGCAAUUUUAGGGCAUGAAAACAUGUAAAAUAGCUACUCAGGUUUAUUUCAACAAUAAACAUGUCUAGUAGAUGAAGAAGGCAGAUUAUGCACAUAAACAUUAAAGUUUAUCCUUUGAUAUUGCUCUCAAAAUAGCGGGUUGCUGUAAUAAACAACCCUCCAACGCUAAACGGUGAUCAGAGAUCCUCGACUAACGUGACAGUCCUAUCUUACCAAAUCAGGGUUUUAGAUCAAAUGUAAUGAGACAUGUAAUCAAGCAUAAAUACAAAUAGUAAGGAGUUGUGUAUUAAAUAAAAUAACAUAAUUUAACAUAGGUAAACAAUCUCAACAAAUAUAGAUAUAAUUAGGCACAAAUAUAUACUUGAUGCUGAAAUUAACAACACACUAAAACUCAAACUGUCACGUUGUCUCACUAUAACGCUAUUAUUAUUGAGCAAACAAAUCCGCCCACAAUAGUGCAAUCACACCCAAGUAUUUAAUACUAGCAGAUUGCACAAAAUUAAACAGUAAAUAAAGUGAGGCAACGGGCAACUCACAACACGUAGAUUGUCUACGUGGGAAUACCAGCUCAACGAACAUGAAGUUCUAUCCCAGAAAACCAAUUCCGCCGCCCACGUUCGGGCCUGCACAGCGGGAAGUUGACGGAGAUACUAGAGCCGCUGCUGAGAUCGUGUGAGACGUCCACAGCACCAGCCCGAGAAGACGAACACCGCGCAGCAGAGAGUCCAAACACCAGGCCACGGUGGACAAUAAUCAGACGAACACAGCGCCACAUAGGCGCACAAGAGGAGCACUAGAACACGGGAGAAACACACUGCACAGGAGCAGCAAUUCCUCCUUAUUUUCUUCCAAUCACCACCAGCCAGUCAAAUAGAACGCCAGGACCAAAAUAGAUCAAACCGAUUGGAACAGAGAGCAGGAGAGAAGAACCACGAACCGGUGUUUUGCAGCCUGUCGCUCAGGGGUUGACUGCCCAUCCUUUAAGGAGCCGAGAAACGAAGGAGGCAAAUAGAUUAGCGAGAAGAGCGGAAGAUCGAGCCGUAGAAAUCGGCGUACGAAGAACGCCGUCGCUGCUGCUCUCAACCACCGCCUAUGCGCCAGCCUCUGCCUUACUCCCGUAAGGCAGCUGAAGGCACCGAGGUGCCGUAGCUUCACCGCAGCCGGCUGGGGCUGCUCGGCCUUUAGGCCUUGAAGUUGC
rnacentral:lncRNA from 1 species